GACUAAGUCUGUAAAUAUUACAAACAAGACUUGCAAUUUUAAAAUGUAAAUAAAUAAGGAAACUAAAAAUCAGCUGAGUACAGCACACAGACAAACUUUUCUUACUGACAUGCAUUACAUUUUAGACACCCUAUUACUCAUUUAAAAAUAUAAUUAUGAUUAAAACAAAAAUUUACUGAUAGAAUUUUAAAUAAUUUAUAUUGUCUUUACCAACAACAAACCUGUGCUGAAAUAAAACUUUUGAAUGUUCACUAUCACAUUUUCAUAAAUUCACUGAAAUUAGGUCAGAUUAUUAAACAAAUCUCGUGCUUUGAGUAUAUCAAGACAGUGAAGAUGUUGAUCUGUAUUAAUACAGACACAUUAAUUCAAAUGUAUUAAAUAUAUUUUUCUUUGUUAAUGGGACAAUAUCAAAUUAUAUGUUAUAAAAAUCUCCUUGCAUGUGUAGCAAGAACAUUUAAAAACUAAAAAAUUUAAAAUCUAGACCCUGAUCCUCAGGUUCAUUAAGCUGCUUUGAAAUAGCUGCAUAGAAUAUAGAGACAGUGGUAUACUGACUCCUAUGUCAACUUUCUCCUUGCAGAUUCCAGGACCAUUGGCAGCCAGUGUAAAUUAGAGCAGCCAUUAGACUGCUCAAACUUACACCGUGGUAUGAGGCUGGUCUACUGGACCAAAAGCCACCUUUGUACCACCUCCUCCUCCUCCUCACCUGUGCCAUGGGCUUCUCCAACCGGUGAUCAUCUAAGGAAAAGCACUUCAGUACAGAGCACUGGAUUUGAUACCAAAGAAUAUAUGGAAUCAAUUCUCCAAUACAUGUACCUUUGAAUAAUGCUUAAGGUGGGCAUGGUAGAUCUAACAAAAGUAAUACCACUGGAACUCCCUAUAACAUAUUAACUGAGAGAAACUGAAUAAUUGUGCUACAUAUGCUGAAGCUAACCUAAACUUGGCAUAGUAGUCUCUGAAGAGCCAAAAAUGGAAAUACACCAACUACUUAAGAGUCUUCAUCUGAAAACAAAUGGUCACAAAGCACACCCUAAAAGGAAACAUGGGUUCAGAUUCUGCAUGCUGCUCAGAGCGAGUCAAGAGCACAGAGGAGACAGGUAUAUCACCUUUCCAACAAUUCAGUCCUAAGGUGAGCACAUGCUGGCCCAGAGUCCCACCACAAAACAGAGCAAUCUGAAGGAAAGCCUCACUGAGGGACUCCCUAGGCACCCAUAUCUGCCAGGUUGAAGUCUACUUGCUGGAGGACACUGACAGAUAUAACAGACCAGAGAAUCAAACCUAUGGCACUUUCUGAACUAGUGGUUUCAUGAACCCUUGAAUCUUUUGUUUAAGAGGAAAUCAAAUACUGAGUAGAUAAAGUCACUGUCUCUAGAUCAAUGAUCUUCCCUAACCAGAAAUCUUUGCAACUCUUCCUUUCACUUUUGUUCUCUGUGCAAAUUUUCCAAAAGGAGAGAGUAUUUUGCUCCUCAGCAUAGACAAGAUCAGAGUAGAUUUAGCAACAGCACAGAUAUUGGACUGUUAAAUUAUUAUAGCCUGUUCCCCUCCAGCCGCAAGUUCUCUCCCAUCUGAUCAUAGGAGUUGGCAGUUCUGCAGCAGAAUUUCUUGAUGAAUUCUGCACUCUUUGAAAGUGUGUAUU